rnacentral:rRNA from 1 species
CCUACGGGUGGCAGCAGUGGGGAAUAUUGCACAAUGGGGGAAACCCUGAUGCAGCGACGCCGCGUGAGUGAAGAAGUAAUUCGUUACGUAAAGCUCUAUCGGCAGGGAAGAAAAUGACGGUACCUGAGUAAGAAGCCCCGGCUAACUACGUGCCAGCAGCCGCGGUAAUACGUAGGGGGCAAGCGUUAUCCGGAUUUACUGGGUGUAAAGGGGGCGUAGACGGUGCGCCAAGUCUGGAGUGAAAGGCCGCGGCUUAACUCCGGAACUGCUUUGGAAACUGGCGAACUAGAGUACGGGAGGGGCAGGCGGAAUUCCUAGUGUAGCGGUGAAAUGCGUAGAUAUUAGGAGGAACACCGGUGGCGAAGGCGGCCUACUGGACUGUAACUGACGUUGAGGCCCGAAAGCGUGGGGAGCAAACAGGAUUAGAUACCCUAGUAGUC